rnacentral:rRNA from 1 species
GACAGAGGGUGCAAACGUUGUUCAGAAUUACUGGGCGUAAAGCGCGUGUAGGCGGUGCGGUAAGUCGGGUGUGAAAGCCCUGGGCUCAACCCAGGAAGUGCAUUCGAUACUACCGUACUAGAGUCCCGGAGAGGUUGGUGGAACUCUCGGUGUAGAGGUGAAAUUCGUAGAUAUCGAGAAGAACACCGGUGGCGAAGGCGGCCAACUGGACGGUGACUGACGCUGAGACGCGAAAGCGUGGGGAGCAAACAGG